rnacentral:lncRNA from 1 species
UCUCUCUACCUUCUCUCUCCAUUUUUUCUAUCUAAAUUCUCUCCCUAUUUUCUCUCUCUAGACCUUUCUCUCUCUUUAUGAAUUUUAUCUCUCUAGAGUCUUUCUCUUCCUCUCUGAUUGCAUCACGGACUCUAGGAUAAACUUGAGAUAAAAAUAUGAUGAUCAGAGAUUGCUCCGAAAUUCGUGCAGUAGAUUAGAUCCCGAUCCGAUCCAUAUUCGAAAUUGAUAAUAUCAAUCAUGAUUAAUUCAUAUUAAGUCACCCUGAUAGG